rnacentral:rRNA from 1 species
AUUGAACGCUGGCGGCAGGCCUAACACAUGCAAGUCGAACGAGUGGCGGACGGGUGAGUAAUGUCUGGGAAACUGCCCGAUGGAGGGGGAUAACGUCCGGAAACGGGCGCUAAUACCGCAUACUAUCAGAUGAGCCUAGGUCGGAUUAGCGAGUAGGUGGGGUAAAGGCUCACCGAGGCGACGAGCCCUAGCUGGUCUGAGAGGAUGACCAGCCACACUGGAACUGAGACACGGUCCAGACUCCUACGGGAGGCAGCAGUGGGGAAUAUUGCACAAUGGGCGCAAGCCUGAUGCAGCCAUGCCGCGUGUAUGAAGAAGGCCUUCGGGUUGUAAAGUACUUUCAGCGGGGAGGCGUUACCCGCAGAAGAAGCACCGGCUAACUCCGUGCCAGCCGCCGCGGUAAUUC